GUGCUCAAACUGACAGCACAUAUACUAAAAUUGCAAUGAUACAGAGAAGAUUAGCAUGGCCCCUACCCAAGGGUGACAUGCAGAUUCGUGAAGAGUUCCACAUUAAA
ensembl:snRNA U6 U6 spliceosomal RNA